GUCCUGUGACAUCUAGAUCCACUGGCUUCAGCUCCAUUGUGACAUCCUAACAUGCAUUGUGUUGGUGGUAACUUAUUGACCACUGAACCAUGCUGGAGAAGCUGGUGUGCACUGCAUAGAGGGUUAGUUACUGGAGGCUCCCUAAGCCAGCAGCAUUUGUAAUCUUGAGACUGUGCCUUCAUGUUAAAAAGAAUUGGCAAUUUAAUAAAUCAAGCUUGAUGACUCUGGGUGAGAAGUCUUUCAAGUGUGAGAUUUGCUCUUAUACCUUCAUUGAUACAAGCUCCCUGCAGCAGUGUUUCUGAACAUGCACUAAUGAGAGGCCUUGCAAAUGCUGGCUCUGUUCAUAUAGUCGCAUUUAGAAGAAGAGCUUGGACCUUCACAUAUGCUGACAUCACACUGGUGAGGUGUGGUUUUUGCUGCUGUUCUUCUGAGAAACAGUUUCUCCAAAAACACAUUAAGAAACAUCACCUAGGUUCAAGAACUUUCUUAACCAGCUCCCAGCUCACUUUUACCCUCAAAUCACUUCCUGUGGAAAAUUAG
rnacentral:lncRNA from 1 species